AGACUUCAGGGUCCCUUUCUCCUUCAGACUCCAGCCUUGUCUUCGCAGCCCUGUGCCCCGCUGCUCCUGGCUGUGAGCACCCCAAAUCGGGGCCGCGAUCCCUGGAUAGCAGCGGGUCCGCCGCGUAUCUCCCCUCACGGAGCGGUGUGUGCAGGGUGCUUCCACGCUUUGGUGCCUCAGGUUUCUCCUUAAGUGUUUAGUCGCCUGCUUUGCAAUCCCAGUGUCCAGAGGUCCCUAGCCUGAGUUCCUCCAGACCAUGGUUGACCUUGGGUAACUGAAAGUGUGGGAAGUGAAACCAAAAAAAGUGAAACUACGGGUAAGGGAGGACUACUCGACUACUCAUGUAUACAUUAAAUAAAAUGAAAAGAAGCUGUACUUAAGUGCCAGUUUGAGGACUGCAGUCAGUGGUGUCUGUGCUAGAGGAGGGGAAAAAUCAGUGUGCACCCGGUGAUUGAGGAAGACUUCCUGAAGGAGGAACCUGUUACAUUCAAGGAUGUGGCCAUGGACUUCACCGAGGAGGAGUGGGGGCAACUAGACCCUGCACAAAGGGCCCUGUACAAAGAGGUGAUGCUGGAGAUCUAUGGCAACCUGGUCUCAGUGGG